rnacentral:rRNA from 1 species
GUAGGUGUGUGUUCCAGGUAAAUCCGGUUCACUUUAACACUGAGGCGUGACGACGAGGCACUACGGUGCUGAAGCAACAAAUGCCCUGCUUCCAGGAAAAGCCUCUAAGCAUCAGGUAACAUCAAAUCGUACCCCAAACCGACACAGGUGGUCAGGUAGAGAAUACCAAGGCGCUUGAGAGAACUCGGGUGAAGGAACUAGGCAAAAUGGUGCCGUAACUUCGGGAGAAGGCACGCUGACACGUAGGUGAAGUGAUUUACUCAUGGAGCUGAAGUCAGUCGAAGAUACCAGCUGGCUGCAACUGUUUAUUAAAAACACAGCACUGUGCAAACACGAAAGUGGACGUAUACGGUGUGACGCCUGCCCGGUGCCGGAAGGUUAAUUGAUGGGGUCAGCGCAAGCGAAGCUCCUGAUCGAAGCCCCGGUAAACGGCGGCCGUAACUAUAACGGUCCUAAGGUAGCGAAAUUCCUUGUCGGGUAAGUUCCGACCUGCACGAAUGGCGUAAUGAUGGCCAGGCUGUCUCCACCCGAGACUCAGUGAAAUUGAACUCGCUGUGAAGAUGCAGUGUACCCGCGGCAAGACGGAAAGACCCCGUGAACCUUUACUAUAGCUUGACACUGAACAUUGAGCCUUGAUGUGUAGGAUAGGUGGGAGGCUUUGAAGUGUGGACGCCAGUCUGCAUGGAGCCGACCUUGAAAUACCACCCUUUAAUGUUUGAUGUUCUAACGUGGACCCGUUACCCGGGUUGCGGACAGUGUCUGGUGGGUAGUUUGACUGGGGCGGUCUCCUCCUAAAGAGUAACGGAGGAGCACGAAGGUUGGCUAAUCCUGGUCGGACAUCAGGAGGUUAGUGCAAUGGCAUAAGCCAGCUUGACUGCGAGCGUGACGGCGCGAGCAGGUGCGAAAGCAGGUCAUAGUGAUCCGGUGGUUCUGAAUGGAAGGGCCAUCGCUCAACGGAUAAAAGGUACUCCGGGGAUAACAGGCUGAUACCGCCCAAGAGUUCAUAUCGACGGCGGUGUUUGGCACCUCGAUGUCGGCUCAUCACAUCCUGGGGCUGAAGUAGGUCCCAAGGGUAUGGCUGUUCGCCAUUUAAAGUGGUACGCGAGCUGGGUUUAGAACGUCGUGAGACAGUUCGGUCCCUAUCUGCCGUGGGCGCUGGAGAACUGAGGGGGGCUGCUCCUAGUACGAGAGGACCGGAGUGGACGCAUCACUGGUGUUCGGGUUGUCAUGCCAAUGGCACUGCCCGGUAGCUAAAUGCGGAAGAGAUAAGUGCUGAAAGCAUCUAAGCACGAAACUUGCCCCGAGAUGAGUUCUCCCUGAGACUUAGAGUCUCCUGAAGGAACGUUGAAGACGACGACGUUGAUAGGCCGGGUGUGUAAGCGCAGCGAUGCGUUGAGCUAACCGGUACUAAUGAACCGUGAGGCUUAACCUUACAACGCCGAAG